GUUGUAGUCUAGCUGGUCA
rnacentral:siRNA from 1 species